AAACAAAACCGCCUAACUUCGUGGCUCCAGUGGAAUCUCUCAGUUUGAUGUCAUGAAGUGGAAAUGGCCAAAGAUCCAGUAAGAAUGAUGUAAAGUCCAAUUAUCAUGCAAAGACAUUCUGGAGAAUUGCAAAGUGAGUGAAGCCAGAAGAGGAGCACUUCAAAAGCCCUUUGGAGACACGGAAUCACAGCUCUGUGAGGGCCAGAGCUAUGGAAAUCGGAGGAAAUUGGACUUCACCGUGUUGGUGGCACACCCUGCCACCCUUGCCAGGAAAGGAAACGGGAAAAG